GACAGAGGGUGCAAACGUUGCUCGGAAUCACUGGGCGUAAAGGGCGUGUAGGCGGGACGGCACGUCGGUCGUUGAAAUCCCCCGGCUCAACCGGGGAACGGGCGCCGAUACGACCGUCCUGGAGGGACGUAGGGGGACCUGGAACUUCCGGUGGAGCGGUGAAAUGCGUUGAGAUCGGAAGGAACGCCCGUGGCGAAAGCGAGGUCCUGGACGUUUUCUGACGCUGAGACGCGAAAGCCAGGGGAGCGAACGGG
rnacentral:rRNA from 1 species